GGAGACAGAAAAGAAGAAAGAAGGAAAGGGAGACAGAGGACGAGGGAGAAGAAGAGAGGGGAAGGAACAGCGCCAUGGAGCUUGGUGCUGCUGGUGAGCUGCCGUCGCAGAGAAGAAAGGGAGAGACGAACAUGACCCACGAAGGAGAGGGAGGAGCCGCCGUCGAGCCACGCCCCGUCACCGUUGUCGUUCGCUGAGGGUGAGACGCGAAGAGAAGAUGCUGACCUGCACCAUCGCGCCUCACUGCCUUCGUCGAGCCUUCAUCACUGUCGCACCUUAUUCCCGUUGCCAUCAGGAUUUGCUGCUGCUGCCAUUGAGAGAGCCGCCGCUAGGGGGGGUGAAUAGGGAGAUGAGGUCGCCGUCGAUGUGGUCGCAGAAAGGGAGAAACAGAUGCACAUGAGAGAGUGACGCAGCAGAGGAGGAGUCAUUCCUCUGCCGCUGCUGUUGCCAGAAAUCUUGGUUGCUGUCGUCGUUCAUGCCGAAGCUUGUCACUGGAGAAGACAAGCUGCUGCGCCAUCCCCUUCGUUCUAACACCGAACCUCCUGUUUGUAACCCUUUAACGCUUCCACUCUUGUUCUAUUUAGCAUUUUGUUUCCCUGUUAUA